ACCUACGGGGGGCAACAGUGGGGAAUAUUGCACAAUGGGGGGAACCCUGAUGCAGCGACGCCGCGUGAAGGAUGAAGUAUUUCGGUACGUAAACUUCUAUCAGCAGGGAAGAAAAUGACGGUACCUGACUAAGAAGCCCCGGCUAACUACGUGCCAGCAGCCGCGGUAAUACGUAGGUGGCAAGCGUUGUCCGGAAUUACUGGGUGUAAAGGGAGCGCAGGCGGGAAGCCAAGUCAGCUGUGAAAACUACGGGCUUAACCUGUAGACUGCAGUUGAAACUGGUUUUCUUGAGUGAAGUAGAGGGU
rnacentral:rRNA from 1 species